AUUUCCCCCCCCCAGGAGUUCCACCUGAGCCAGUCCCGUCCCCCCCUGCGCCCCCUGAGCCUCCCCACGGGGCUGUCGGUGCGGGAGGCGCUGGAGAGGGUGCUGAGGCUGCCGGCCGUGGCCAGCAAGAGGUACCUCACCAACAAGGUGGGUCACCUGUCACCCCCCUGGGUCACCUGGGGGUCAUUUGUGUCGUUUGUCACCUCCCUGGGUCAUUUGUGUCACCCCUGAGUCAUUUGUCACCUCCCUGUCCCACCCCUGUCACCCCAAACCUGUCUGUGCCACCCCAACCCUGCUCCAGCCAGAGGUCCCUCACCAACAAGGUGGGUCAUUUGUCACCCCCCCGGGUCACCUGAGUG